ensembl:rRNA 5S_rRNA 5S ribosomal RNA
GUCUAUGGCUCUACCACCUGAAUUUGCCAAACCUUGUCUGAUUUCAGAAGUUAAACAGGGUCGGGGUUGGUUAGUUCUUGGAUUGGAGUCCAAUAUAAAAAUGAAAAACUAUAGGAC